UACGAGAGCCCCAAGCGUUAUCCGGAUUUAUUGGGCGUAAAGCGUGUGCAGGUGGUUUGUCACAUCUUCUGUUAAAUCCCGAAGCUCAACUUCGGGGCCGCGGAAGAGAUGGAUAAACUAGAGACUGGAAAAGGUAAGCGGAAUUGCUGGUGUAGGGGUUAAAUCCGUUAAUAUCAGCAGGAACACCAAAUGCGAAGGCAGCUUACUAGGACAGUUCUGACACUCAUACACGAAAGCGUGGGUAGCGAAUGGG
rnacentral:rRNA from 1 species